UAGACACUCAUAAGUGAGACCAGAUGGGAGUCAUCCAAAGGUCAGAGCAAAGGUGCAAGGACCUCCCAGUGCCUUGAGGGCCACUCUCUUACCUGGAGAUCUCACAAACUUGAAUGCGUUCAGAACUAGAAGAUGCUGAAUGAAAUCAGAGACUCCUGCAAGCAGGAGGGGAAGGCCGUGCAGUGGAUUGUGUUCAUUUAGUACUUCAGCAUAAAGACUGAUACGUACUCAGUACACAAUGUGUAUAGAUAUAUGUACACGGAUAGAUAUAUAGGUAAUUGAAAUGGCUUAAGUUCAGAUUGGUUAGUUCAUAAAUGGACCAUAGUCAAGUAGAAGAUAUUUAAUGCUCAUUAUGCUGUGUGCAUCCAGUCUUCACUACCAUCUUUCUCCUAUUCCAACUCCUAGCACCAGGCUUAACAUUUCACCUGGAAAAUCUCACUUAAUGAGGAUUCAUCAUCAACAGAAUGUCAGCACUUUGAUUUUCAAAACA